AUUUUCCAGGCAAGGAUAUUGGAGUCGGUAGCCGUUUCCUACUCUCGGGGAUAUUCCCGACCCAGAGAUCGAACCCAUGUCUCCUGCAUCUCCAGCAUUGGCAGGGGGAUUCUUUACCACUGGGCCACCUGGGAAGCCAAAGAGGGUGUGAUACGUGUACACAAUAGAAUACUGCUCAGCCAUAAAAAGGAAUGAGAUGUUCCCCAAUCUGAGUGGACCCAGAGAUGAUCAUACUGAGUGAAGGAUCUUCCUAGCCCAAGGAUUGAACCUGGAUCUUCAGCAUCAGCAGGCAGAUUCUUUACCACUGAGCCACCAGGGAAAACCGAAUUUCCUUUAAUCAUCUCCAAUUACCCAACCAGCUGGACUAAUCAAUAUUCGCCAGUCUGUAAGAUCAACCAUGUGGGGCCCACAGCAAGCGUGGGAGGAGACACUGAACUACCACACAGAGGUCUUAGUUGCAGCAUGAGGGAUCUCGCUCCCUGAGCAGGGAUUGAACUCGGGCCUUCUGCAUUGGGAACAGAGUCUUACCCACUGGAUCACCAAGGAAGUCCCAAAGCACAGCAGCUUUUACUUGGGUAACAACUUUCACAACUGAGUGGCUUGAAACAACAGACAUAUCUCCUGGUUCCAGAGGCCAGCAGUCUGAAAUCAAGGUGUUGGUAGGCUUGGUUCUUCUGGAGGCUCUAGAACCUUCCUCACUCCUUCCAGCUUCUGGACACUGCCAGCAAUCCUUGGUUGGGCCUCAGAGUGGGAUUUGAUUGGACAGCCUCUCUGCUAUGACCUAUACCUGCUUUGUUUUAAAAAAAUGAAUCAAAGGACUUGCCUGGUGGCCCAG
ensembl:lncRNA